GAUGAACGCUGGCGGCGUGCUUAACACAUGCAAGUCGAACGGAAAGGCCCAAGCUUGCUUGGGUACUCGAGUGGCGAACGGGUGAGUAACACGUGGGUGAUCUGCCCUGCACUUCGGGAUAAGCCUGGAAACUGGGUCUAAUACCGGAUAGGACCACUUCUUGGAUGUUGUGGUGGAAAGUUUUUUCGGUGUGGGAUGAGCUCGCGGCCUAUCAGCUUGUUGGUGGGGUAAUGGCCUACCAAGGCGUCGACGGGUAGCCGGCCUGAGAGGGUGUACGGCCAAAAUUGGAAUGAGAUAAGGGCCAGACUCCCAAGGGGGGCAGGAGGGGGGAAUAUUGCAAAAUGGGCGCAAGCCUGAUGGAGCGAAGCCGGGGGGGGGAUGAAGGGCUUCGGGUUGUAAAAUCCCUUCGCUAGGGAAGAAGCGGUUUGUGACGGUACCUGGAGAAGAAGCACCGGCUAACUACGUG
rnacentral:rRNA from 1 species